rnacentral:rRNA from 1 species
GGAUGAACGCUGGCGGCGUGCUUAACACAUGCAAGUCGAACGAAGGAACCCGUUGUACGGAGUUUUCGGUACGAACUGAUAGGAAUCCUUAGUGGCGGACGGGUGAGUAACGCGUGAGGAACCUGCCCUGGAGUGGGGAAUAACACAGUGAAAAUUGUGCUAAUACCGCAUAAUGCAGUUGAGUCGCAUGGCUCUGACUGCCAAAGAUUUAUCGCUCUGGGAUGGACUCGCGUCUGAUUAGCUAGUUGGUGGGGUAACGGCUCACCAAGGCGACGAUCAGUAGCCGGACUGAGAGGUUGGCCGGCCACAUUGGGACUGAGACACGGCCCAGACUCCUACGGGAGGCAGCAGUGGGGAAUAUUGGGCAAUGGGCGCAAGCCUGACCCAGCAACGCCGCGUGAAGGAAGAAGGCUUUCGGGUUGUAAACUUCUUUUAUGAGGGACGAAUGAAGUGACGGUACCUCAUGAAUAAGCCACGGCUAACUACGUG